GGGGGGAGCAAGCGUUGUUCGGAUUACUGGGCGUAAAGGGCGCGUAGGCGGCACGCAAGUCGACUGUGAAAUCUCCGGGCUUAACUCGGAAAGGUCAGCCGAUACUGCGGGGCUAGAGUGCAGAAGGGGCAACUGGAAUUCUCGGUGUAGCGGUGAAAUGCGUAGAUAUCGAGAGGAACACCUGCGGCGAAGGCGGGUUGCUGGGCUGACACUGACGCUGAUGCGCGAAAGCUAGGGGAGCGAACGGGAUUAGAUACCCCGGUAGUCCUAGCCUUAAACGAUGAAUGCUUGGUGUCUGGGGUUUUAUAGUCCCCGGGUGCCGUCGCUAACGCUUUAAGCAUUCCGCCUGGGGAGUACGGUCGCAAGACUG
rnacentral:rRNA from 1 species